AUUGAGAUGGUUGAGUUGGUAUAAGGUGCCAAAUUAUGGUUCUGGUCCGAAAGGGUGUGGGUUCAAAUCCCACUCUCAACA
rnacentral:tRNA from 1 species